UGGCCCGUACCGCGAAGGCCCUGCAGGCCCACUGGCAGCUCAUGAAGCAGUAUUACCUGCUGGAGGACCAGACAGCCGCUGCCCAAAGGGGACCAAGUGCUGAACUUCUCUGAUGCAGAGGACCUGAUUGAUGACAGUAAGCUCAAGGACAUGCGAGAUGAGGUCCUGGAACAUGAGCUGAUGGUGGCUGACCGGCGCCAGAAGCGAGAGAUUCGGCAGCUGGAACAGGAACUGCAUAAGUGGCAGGUGCUAGUGGACAGCAUCACAGGCAUGAGCUCUCCGGACUUCGACAACCAGACACUGGCAGUGCUGCGGGGCCGCAUGGUGCGGUACCUGAUGCGCUCGCGUGAGAUUACCCUGGGCAGAGCAACCAAGGAUAACCAGAUUGAUGUGGACCUGUCUCUGGAGGGUCCGGCCUGGAAGAUAUCCCGGAAACAAGGUGUCAUCAAGCUGAAGAACAACGGUGAUUUCUUCAUUGCCAAUGAGGGUCGACGGCCCAUCUACAUCGAUGGACGGCCGGUGCUCUGUGGCUCCAAAUGGCGCCUCAGCAACAACUCUGUGGUGGAGAUCGCCAGCCUGCGAUUCGUCUUCCUUAUCAACCAGGACCUCAUUGCCCUCAUCCGGGCUGAGGCUGCCAAGAUCACACCACAGUGAGGAGUGGUGGCAGGACUCGUGGGCCCUCUCCGGCCUGUUUCCCCUGCCACUCCAGCCCCCUUGAGCUGGG
rnacentral:sRNA from 1 species